CGCAUAGACACCCCCCCCCCCCCACCCUUUUCUUCACGUUUCACUAAGCCCUAGCCGCCGAAGGAGUUGCUCGCGUCUGGCAGCUGGUCGUCACUUCUUAAAGCUGUCGUCGAAGCCACCAUCUGGAGUAGUUGCGCGUGCCGUCAGAUCCCUAAAUGUCGGAGUUGUCGCAAGCCCGUCGUAGAAUGUUGUUGUUCAGUCGAGUCGUCUGCUACCGCCUCAUUCAGAUCUUCUUUGUCAAACGUCGCAGUCGUGAACGAAGCCACACCGCCCAUCUAUUCGCCUCAAACCCACCAGAUCCAACAUCCAGUCAUCGAUUCCUUCUUAUUUUGCUAGUCGUCGCCGUCAGGAACUCCACCAUCAGUGGGGGUAUAGUGAAUUUGGAGGUUCGAAGGUUUUGAGGUACUGUCCAUCAGUGUUGAAGGUUGCUUUGGUGUGUCAUAAGCCGUUUUCCAGCAGAUUCAAAGUUGUUCCGAAGGAUUUUAGUUGGCAUCCAUUGGUGAAGUAAUAAAGUGGAUUUGGAUUUAGCCUAAUUUUUUUGUGAGCUAAUUCGAGGGUUUUGGGAAGCUAGACUGGAGUUUGUUGCUUGGAUUAAUUCUUGGGCUUAAUUUGAGGUAAGUGGUACUAUUACCAGUUCUUCGUGACAGGCAAUCUAGAUUAGAUUUAUAAAGUUAAUUAAUGGACUCUAGAAGCAUGAUUUUGUCGCUGUGAUAUACUUGUUGCAUGACAGUUAUGAGUAUUAUGAGCAUGUUUGAAUUUCUAAUCAAUACUGAAAUUAUGUAUUUGAUGCAUGAUUAGACCAAUAGGGCAGUUUACCGUCUCGCCUUGAUGCAUGUUUUAUUUAAGAGGACCGACAGGUCUAGUUUCAUGUUUGACGGUAUGCCUACAGGCCGCAAGACAUGCAUGAAUCGAUAAGUUGACAUUCAUGUUAUUUUUCCAUGUUUGACGGUGUGCCUAUGGGCCGCUAGACAUGUGUAAGUCGACAGGUUCACGUUCAUGUUAUUUUUUUCAUGUUUGACGGUAUGCCAUCAGGCCACUAGACAUGCGAGUCAAGGUAAGGCAGUAUGUCUUUUGGUUUCUUUUCAUCAUCUAAGACCGAUGUAGUUGUUUGAGCCACGGGCCAUCAUUCUUUACUCGUGGAUGCAUAGUCGGAUCUCGGUAAUGGGAUCACUUAUUGAGUAUUAUAUACUCAACCUUUAUCUUUAUUUUUUUAUUUUCAGGUAAGGUCAAAGAUACUCACGACAAGAGAAAUCUGUGACAGUGCCAAAGGAACUAGAAUCGCUUUCGCAUUUGAACCUUUAUGUUUUCUUGCAUUUUUAUUUUAUUUAUGAUUUUUCUUUUAUUAUUUACUUCAUGUUAAAGGGUACCCUGGUCGAACGAUUUAAGAUCUUGAGAUAAUGACAGAAUAGUUUCUUAUAAACUUAAAA